GGCGUUGCCCAACGCGCAGUGCCCCAAAGUCGAGGGUCUUGCUCUCGAAGGCGCCCUCGACGUUGCAGAAGAGCCCCCCGCGCUUCGGACGAGGCGCCGCCGCCGAGCCGGGCCGCGCCAGCUGCUCAUGUGAGACCCAAGACUCUCUCUGAAGGCCAGAACCCAGUCUCAGCUGCAUCAAAUACAUCUGGAAGAAAUCACAGGAAAAAGGGGGACUUAACCCCAAAUAAAGCCUGCUACAUCAAGCCAAUCCAUCCCCAAGGGAGUGCCUGGUGUGGAGGAGCCUGUUUCAUGCAGCUGGGGUCCUGCCUUUGAGCGCACGUCAAGCCCACUGGGCGUGUUCCAGUUUCAAGAUCUGCAGUGGACCAGAACUCGGUGCAGCAUUUGAAGAUACAAAUG